rnacentral:lncRNA from 12 species
AGAUGAUCCAAGGAAGAAAAAAAUGGGAAAAAAACCAGUGGCAGAGGUUGGGGAGGCUUUGGGGUCUCCUCCAAACCACCCCAUCCUGUGAUUCCACUCCAUGAUCCCAAGGAAAAGGGAUUUGGGAAAAGCAGGGUCCAGCCAAUUUCUGACUGAAUAUGGGGUAAAAAGCUCCCCCAGCCCUGAAUGCUCCUGUACACCGGAUUUACACCGGAUUUACACUGGAUUUACAAGGGAUCUAACCUGGAUUUACACUGGAUUUACACCUGAUUUACAAGGGAUUUACACUGCAUUUACACUGGAUUUACAUUGCGUUUACACUGGAUUUACAAGGGAUUUAACCCGGAUUUACACCAGGUUCACCCUGAAUUUACACUGGAUGUAAUUUUACACUGCAUUUACACCUCAAUUACAUUUACAUCUGAUUUACACCUGCUUUACCCUGGAUUUACACUGCAUUUACUCCAGAUUUACCCCUGAUUUACACUGGGUCAGAUCCAACAGCUGUCCCGAGGAUGGAAAACGCUGCCAGGGAAAACCCCUUCCAAGGGCUCCUCCAAAAUGUUCCUUCCGUGGCAGAUUUCAAUCCACUAAAAAAGCAAAAAUUCCUGAGCUAUUUCCUAUCUCAGCAAAUUCCUGAAAGCAACUCCUGGAGGAAAGGAUGGGGAAAAAAACCAGGGAAAAUCCCCCAGAAUUCCUGAGCUGUGUGAUGCUGAAAAACGUGACAAAUGGAAAGGGGAAUUAUUUCCAAAGUGGAAAUACCUCAGGGAAUGAGAGUCUGGGAUCAGCACUGCUGUUCUCACUCGACACCUCAGCCCAAGUUGUGUUUUCCAGGAAAAUUUUUCAUUUCCCACAUUAUCCGUGAACUUUCUGCAAAAUCCUAAGGGAGACACGACUUCGGCUCAGGGUAAAUCACCUCAAAGCCUUUAAAGGGGUAAAAAAUUCAUUUUAUGGCCCCCCCCC